AUAUUUCGCAGCUUUUUGAGAUAAAAGUAGCAUGGUGACUGAGCAACGUCUCCAGACGUGUCCAUUAUCACAUGUAGCUAAUGAUGUAUUAUUGAAUUGAACUGUAGCUUCACAUGCUGGGCAAGUUUCACUAAAAUCUGAGGAAACUUCCAAGCUUUUUGCUAUCUCGUUCGCUACUUCCAUUGCAAUCGGUACCUCAGCCAACUCUUUAUAAGUAAAUGAUACAAAGUUUCUUAAAACAGCUUUGCAAUCACUAGUUAGAUAAGAGGGGUCAAGAGAUAUCUGAGAAAGUGUAUAUAACAUAAUGUAUAGGGUUAAUCGGUAUCUCAAAGAAUUCAGUAAAGUAGCGUCUAAUGCUUUUUGUUUAUA